rnacentral:lncRNA from 1 species
AUGCAGCUCUGCUGUUGGCUCACCAGAAGGGAUUAUUGGCCACAGCUGCUGGAGCAGUUUGGUGGCAGUGCUGCGCUGCUUACCUGCUCUGCAUCUCCAUCCUCCAUCCUCCAGGAUCCGGUCCUCCAGUUGGUGGGGAUGAACUCUUCAUCGUAUAAGCUUUUGCUUGUAAAGGAUCAGACCUCAAGAGGAGUCUGGAUGACCUUACAAAUCCGUUAGGAUACUGUCUUAGUGAAAAGAUGAGUCUUACACCGUGCUCUGAAAGUUGAAGAAGGGGGGUUUAUUAUGCUGCUGCCACUAUCGAGUGCCAAAAAUAGCAGUGGACACCUGAACUGGUGAAAAUAGCUGUGUCUAACUUUUUCCACAGAUAACGUAGGGCCCUGUCUUUGAAAAGCUGCUGUGUAAUUCCACUGUGUACAUUUCCGAUGUGUCUGUGGUCAACUUGCCAAGUUUUGCCAUGUGUAAGAUUGCAUGUAAUAUAUCUGCCAAGCAUGCUGCUGGGUAUGCUGACUUCAGGGAUUUAUGGGGUUUGUCAAUAUUAGGAAGCGUAGGAAAUGAUAAAAAGUAUAAAAUACAGUUAUGGUUUCCAUGCGAUGAUCACAUUGUAAAUUUUCCUUUAACACUUCUGGGCAAACAAAUCAUAAUGUCUAGGGCAAUUUAAAAAGCUUUAGGGAUUAUUACUCUUAGAUUUUAAAUAAAUUCUAAUUUUAAAUAAAUUCUCA